rnacentral:rRNA from 1 species
UACGUAGGUCCCGAGCGUUGUCCGGAUUUAUUGGGCGUAAAGAGCGCGCAGGUGGUUAAUUAAGUCUGAUGUGAAAGCCCACGGCUUAACCGUGGAGGGUCAUUGGAAACUGGUUGACUUGAGUGCAGAAGAGGGAAGUGGAAUUCCAUGUGUAGCGGUGAAGUGCGUAGAGAUAUGGAGGAACACCAGUGGCGAAGGCGGCUUCCUGGUCUGCAACUGACACUGAGGCGCGAAAGCGUGGGGAGCAAACAGG